CCACGCGACCGCCGACCGUAGCAAUCACCCGCCGAUACUACCUUCUCUUCCCCUGCACCAGCCACCGCUUUUGGUUUCCGUGUAGUCGUCUAAUGGCGAAGCGGCUCGCCGGCGCCGAGAAAGAGGUACUCGUUGAGGUCGUAAGGUUCACUCAGAAGGACGGGUUGAAAGGCUCUGAGGGGGGAUGGAAGGAUUUCUUGUCUCGGAACGACAGGAAGUUUGGUGCUUCGGUAAGCGACCCCAGGAAGCGAACCAGGGAUGUGCUACUUGCCUUCCUGCUAACCUUCUCCUGAGAUUUCCAAAAGUACUUUGGCAAAUUGGUGAAGCGUCAUAAGGAAAGAAGUGCUAUACAGCAGCAUAUGAAGGAUUUUCCUGAGGAGGUUUCUCCCG